GAAACCGGUAGAACAAUUGGAUCGCGAAUUAAGGAACACUUAAAAAUGGACAAACAAACUGUGUACAAACAUAUAGAAUCUCAUAAGAGUAGACGACCAGAUCAAUCCGACAUAAGUUGGAAAAUAUUACAUAGAAAUAUAGCCUACCAAGAAGAACGCAAAUGUAUGGAAGCCUUUGAAAUACAUAACCGUAGCAAAAAUAUUAUGAACGGUUGCAUAGGUAGAACAAUUAGUAUUUAAUUAACCAAACACUGCUUGUAGUGCUUGACCGGACUCGUAGCUAAUUGACAUUUCAAUAGUUUUAUAAUUUUUUUAUUUUAUUCAUGAAUUUUUAAUAGACUAGCUUGUAUAUAAUAGACGUAUAUAUUGUAAUAAGUAAUAUUCCAC